GGCGGUGGGCGGGACGCCUCAUCCUCACCGAGGCAACGGGCGGGCGGGCGGUUCCGGGUGUGCGUGAGGUUGACGGCGGUGGAGGGAUGAUUCCUCUCCAGAGUUUAUUUUUGACUGGAAGGAUGCUCUUUUCCAGUAGAAGAUGGUGAUCCUAAUGUAUGAUCAUGGAGAAGGGGAUAAGUUCAGUAGAAGUGUUACCUUCCAAAUCGUCUCAGGUUACAGCUGUAAAAGUGGUGGUCAAAGACCCCGAAACAAAGCAAACCCAAAGAGGGAAACGAGUGGGAUUUGUGCUUGUCCAUGCAGGUGCAGGUUAUCAUUCCGAAUCCAAAGCUAAAGAAUACAAGCAUGUGUGUAAAAGAGCCUGUCAGAAGGCAAUUGAAAAGCUACAGGCUGGUGCUCUUGCAACAGAUGCAGUGACUGCAGCACUUAUAGAAUUAGAGGAUUCUCCUUUUACAAAUGCAGGAUUGGGAUCUAACCUAAACCUUUUGGGUGAGAUAGAAUGUGAUGCCAGUAUAAUGGAUGGAAAGUCACUAAAUUUUGGAGCAGUUGGAGCACUGAGUGGAAUCAAGAAUCCAGUUUCAGUUGCAAAUAGAUUGUUGUGUGAAGGGCAGAAGGGAAAACUCUCUGCUGGCAGAAUUCCACCUUGCUUUUUAGUUGGUGAAGGAGCUUACAGAUGGGCAGUUGAUCACGGGAUACCAGCAUGUCCUCCAGGUAUCAUGGCUACAAGGUUUAGCUUAGCAGCUUUUAAGAGGAACAAGAGGAAGCUGGAGUUGGCUGAAAAGGUGGAAACAGAUCUCAUUCAACUAAAGAAAAGACGACAAUCAAAUGAAAAGGAGAAUGACUCAGGAACAUUGGAUACAGUUGGUGCAGUGGUUGUUGACCAAGAAGGAAAUGUUGCUGCUGCUGUCUCCAGUGGAGGUUUAGCACUAAAGCAUCCUGGAAGAGUUGGUCAGGCAGCUCUUUAUGGUUGUGGCUGCUGGGCUGAAAAUACAGGAGCUCAUACCCCUUACUCCACUGCUGUGAGUACUUCAGGUUGUGGAGAGCACCUUGUCCGAACCAUACUGGCCAGAGAAUGUUCAUGUGCUUUGCAAACGGAAGAUGCCCACCAAGCUCUCCUAGAGACUAUGCAAAACAAGUUUAUUGAAAUUAUCACUGCAAGUUUUUGUUGCCCGACAGCAGGUUCACCUUUUCUAGCCAAUGAAGAUGGUGUACUCGGAGGUGUGAUAGUUCUUCGGUCUUGCAGGUGUUCAGCAGAUCCUGAAUCAUCACAGGAAAAGCCGACUUUACUAGGACAAAAUGUGACAAUUUGGAGGAUACACUUAAAAUUUGGAAGGGAAGUUGGUUUAUGGCUAGAAUUUUUUUGUUAUGCCCAGGAAAAUGUGUUCAGAUAAGUCGCAGUUACUAUUUGCAUGUGCAGGCAACAGGAGUACUUGCUGUUUAUGUUGAGAUCAGCAGAAAACUGUACCUUGCCUCCAUCAGUAGCUGACUGGUUAAAAAGGCAAUGAGCUUUACAGCCCUUCCACCCUGUUUAUGUCCUAGAAACAAGAUCCUCAUCUGUCUCGCUUUUUACAGUGGAACAAGUGUAUUAUAGUAAACUGUUGUGUGGUUUGUCCUGGAGAAACAGCUAGGAAACUGAAGGCUGUAGACUCCUGGCAGAGGUGGGUGGAAAUACAACGCAGAGACAGUAAAGCCCAUGUUCUCUUUGAAGGCAGGGAUUUGGGACUGGGGACAUACGAAUUACUUCAGCGUGACACUUGUACCAUCUCCUUUCCAGUGGUGCUCCUCAGAUGUGGGCUUAUGUGUCUGGUCAUGCUAUGUGCUUAUGUAUUGGGUCACAUGGACCUGUCUAAUGUAUAUUUAUGUUAUGCUACCACAAUGAAAGUUGCAUAAUGCUCUGCUUUAUUGUUGUUUCCCCAAGUGUUUACUGAAUCGCUGCCAGUAGCAUUACAGAUUUAAAGUAGAUUUCAUAGCUUUUAAGAUCUGACAUGACAAAUUUGAUCACCUAACUUAACUUUGUUUAUUAAGGCAGGUCAUAGCAUCUCACCCGGUAAUUCUUGAAUUGCAUAAUUCUUUUUAAUCUAUAGGCUAUUGUUUAGAAAGACACCUCACCUUUGUUUUAAUUCAUUACUACUUUUGUCCCACUAAAUCCUAACAUCGUGUCACCAGAUUUUGCCUGCUUACAGCCAGCCUGGAGUAGCAGGCAGAGUGUGCUAAAGGUGGGCCGGCAGAUAUAUUCUUAACGAUGGGUUAACUCACACAAAAUCUAGUGUUUAUUGCUGUCUGUUCAAUGACUUCCAGGAUGUUAGGGUCAAGUUAUUACAGUUGCACAGGAUGAGGUGUAUGUUAUCUUUCAGUUUUGUUGUCAUAUUACACCUUGCUAGUUUGUUUUACAAGAUUCUUUAAAUAUCAUAUACUACUUUUUCUGUGUUGGUCAAUUUGAGUCUGAUUGUACAGCCUUCCAGUCAUUCACUCUAAUAAGUAAUUUUGCUCAAUACAGUUAAUAACAUUCAUGUUUCUCUACCCAACAGUUGCAGUUUUUGUCUUUUAUGCUUUUAGUCAACAUCUCAUCUUAUCCAUAAGAGUUUCAUGUACGUUUAUUUUGCUAUUACAAAGAACCAGAGAUUUGGGACAUGAAUCCUCACAAUUCUGAUGAUGGUUCUGGGAUUAUCCUGAUGGACAACAAAGGAAUUUUGUAAGGCUUGGGUGGGAAAAGGUCUUAGAAAUAGCUUUUGUAUGUUAUAUUUUUUUGGAGUUAUUACUUGAAUAGCUUGUCUUUUUGAAGAAGCGGGCUGUCAUAUAGACUUUGACAAUCAUCUUGCUCUUGUCUUUCAACUGUUUGAAAGCCAAGACUGUCUAAUCCUGACUCCAGAAUCAGGGCAUGGGUUGCUAGACGUACAGAGAACGUUGCAAGUUUGAUUUACAGUUUUCAGAUUGGAAUAAUUAUGACAUUAUUGACCUAGUGGAAGAGCAUCCUACAACAUAAAUUCUAUCCCUAAAAAAGAGUUAAGAAAAUGAAAAUAUAAGUUUGACUAAAUAAUAACGAACAAGAUCAACUUAACCUUCAAUUUCUUACGUUUGGGAGUGAGAGAAAUAUUUCUAUUCAUUUAAUGUUUGUCAUUCAUGUAAGAUAACAUGUACCUAUUCAGGAAGAUUGGGAUUUUUUCCUCAAAAAUUAAUAAAAUCCCGAUACAUCUUAAGACUAUUUGUCCAUUGAUUUUUGGUUUUCUUUCCACUGAAAUAAGAUUAAUGUAGCACAGCUUAUUCUAAAGAUUUUUUUCUGUACCACAGAAAUUUCCUGCCUUAUAGUGUAUGCUGAGUUAAUGUAUAAUUAAACGUAUGUAGUUUUUGUGGUGUUUGGACUGAAAAUAAGUUGUGUAAUACUGAAGAAGUCUGUGUGUAGAAUAAUGAAAUCUCAUGUCUUUGUUGUAGGGAUGAUCUUUUUUUUUAUUAUUUUUUUAACUAUUGAAACAAAUGGCAAGACAGCAAUUUAUUAAAUGAUUGAAAAUAUGUAAAAAGUCUUCAGAUAAUUAUGUAAUUUAGGAUUUUCAUUCUAAUUCCACUACUUGUAAUAGCUAGCAAUAACCAUGUCUCAAGCUAGUACAUGCUACCUUUGGUGGACAAUGUAGAAGGAAAAAAUUAUUAAAAACUUAAAAGACUAUGCCUAGAGUUAUCAAAGGCAAAGAAAUAAUAUUUUGAGUGUAUUUGGCAGGAACUGUUGCCCAACUUCUCAAAAUUGAAAGAUAAGAUUAAAUUUGUCUCCAAAAAAUAAAUGCUUUCACUGACAGUUGAACCUUUAAGGUAUUAGGGAGGGGUCGGCCUCAUUGAAUGCAGUUACAUUGCACUGAAUAUAUUUCAGUCUCUGAAAGCUUUUGACUAACCUUUGGCGAUAUCAGUCAUGAAUCUGUUACAGGGGAGAGCAAAUCGCAUACCUAAAUGAAGUUCAUUUUUCUUUUAUGAUGAUAUCUACAUAUCUGUUGGAAUCUUCAAGUCUUGCCGGGAUUGUCUAAACUUUGAUCUUCUACUCAGGGUUAAUUGCUAUGCAAGGAUAAAUGGUUCAAAGGGUAAGCAUACUCAGCAUGCUGUGACCUUCUUCAAUCAUAUUAAAGGAACAUGAGGAAUAGGAAUGAAUAAGAGUUUUAAAACCAUCUAAAGAUGCUUUUUGCAGUAUGUUAAAGUCUCUCUCCAAUGAAAUACCUGGAAAUAGCUUUUCAUGGCAUCUUGUGUAAUUCAUGUAAGCUGACUCCUGUAAUCCAAAGGAAAAAUUUACACUUCAGUGCAAUUUCUUAAGCCCUUUACAGUAUUCUAUGAAUACCCUGACUUCUGAUCAGCAACUCAUUCUUUUCCCCCCUUCCAAAUUAUGUACUUAAUGAACCAGAAGAAAAAUUACUGUGACAUAGAGCAGGAAGAAUAGUGUGGCAGUUUAUAAAGCUCCACUAGAUGGGAGCUAAACGUAGGAAUAAUAUGAUCUUUGAAUUUUGUGUUGCAACUGAGUAGAGGUGUGUGUGUGUAAAGAUAUAAAGAUAUCUAUGUAUGUAUCGGGGAAUUAAAGAUCGCUGUAAUGGGCUGUUUAAAUGGCUGAUAAAUCAGGGCAGUUUCAAACUUUAAAACAACACCUUACUGAAUUAACAUGCAUUAACCAUACACAUUACCAAUGGUUAGUUUUCUAAUCAUUACCACUACAAACACAAAACUGUUCGUCUUUAACAUUUAUAUCCUAAAUUAGCUGUGAGUAUACAGUACCAGAGAGUUGAUGCUAUAUAGCAAAUGCUAGAAGUCAAGGUGAUCAGACCUGAGAGUGCUUUGAUGGCGAAGCCAAAAUCAAAAUGGGCUCAUUUCGUCUCCAUCUUUCUUUUCUCUCUUACCUUUGGUGCUCCUUAUCCUCUCCCCUAAGAAAGGGGGUGAUUGCAUAUGCUUUUGAUGUAAUUCAGCUUACUUCUGGGACCAGGUCUUGCUUUAAUUUUGCCAGGCAUCUUUCUUGCUUUUUAUGCAGUGGUACUCUGCUUCCAUCAGCAGACAUCUCCUUCUUCUGCAGGAUUAUUUUGCUUUCACCAGAUGUCUUUCCUGCCUGCUCUGUAUCUUCAGUUCUCAUCUUGCAGACUUUACUACUUCUGCAUGUUUUUCUGUACCCUACUUGUGGAGCUAAAGCACAAAUCUCCAUUUGCCCAUUGUGGAAUUUCUGUGGAGCCAUACAACAGAGAGCAUGUGUGUAGGAUAUAUGUCUGCACAGGAUGGCAAAGCUAAGACUCACAUUUCAAGACUUCCUCCUGGAGCCGUGGCAGG